rnacentral:rRNA from 1 species
GAGCAUGGGCGCAGCCUGAUGCAGCCAUGCCGCGUGUAUGAAGAAGGCCUUCGGGUUGUAAAGUACUUUCAGUUGUGAGGAAGGGGGUGUUGUUAAUAGCAACAUCUCUUGACGUUAGCAACAGAAGAAGCACCGGCUAACUCCGUGCCAGCAGCCGCGGUAAUACGGAGGGUGCGAGCGUUAAUCGGAAUUACUGGGCGUAAAGCGCAUGCAGGUGGUUCAUUAAGUCAGAUGUGAAAGCCCGGGGCUCAACCUCGGAACUGCAUUUGAAACUGGUGAACUAGAGUACUGUAGAGGGGGGUAGAAUUUCAGGUGUAGCGGUGAAAUGCGUAGAGAUCUGAAGGAAUACCAGUGGCGAAGGCGGCCCCCUGGACAGAUACUGACACUCAGAUGCGAAAGCGUGGGGAGCAAACAGGAUUAGAUACCCUGGUAGUCCACGCCUUUAUACGAUGUCUACUUGGAGGUUGUGGCCUUGAGCCGUGGCUUUCGGAGCUAACGCGUUAAGUAGACCGCCUGGGGAGUACGGUCGCAAGAUUAAAACUCAAAUGAAUUGACGGGGGCCCGCACAAGCGGUGGAGCAUGUGGUUUAAUUCGAUGCAACGCGAAGAACCUUACCUACUCUUGACAUCCAGAGAAUCCAGGGGAGACGCAGGAGUGCCUUCGGGAGCUCUGAGACAGGUGCUGCAUGGGCUGUCGUCAGCUCGUGUCGCCACAUGUUGGGUUAAGUCCCGCAACGAGCGCAACGCU